GAUAACAACCAGCAGUUUGAUACACACACCUCACCAUGCAAAGCCCCAUGCCCAUGUCUCGUCACCCACAGUGCCCAGAGCACCCACAUCUCUGCCUCACCUGAGGCCACCUGUCUGGCAGCACCUCCCAGCGGCCCUAACGGCCACCAGCCCAGUGACCCCUCCUAACGGCCUUAACAGCUGCCUGUCUGCUGGUGCCUCCCAGUGGCCCCUUCCAAAGCCCAGAAGAUGAAGGUAUUGCUGAGAUCAGCAAGUAACCUUUGAGAUUAAACUGGAGGUGGAUCUUCCCUGCAAGUCAGUCUUUUAAUGUGUCCAAAUACAAGCCUGAGUGUCGGUGCCUGUGAUGACUACCUGCUAAUAAACACACUGAAGAUGUUGAUCACCUUAAGGCAAUAAUUUUCUUGAUGUCUAGUGGAAACUUCCUUACUGCAACAACUAAAUGUCAGGAAGAAGAAUCUGAUGAUUCAUCCGGCUUUAAAAAAAAAAAAGCCCAAAGGAUGUCAUUUGUACCUCUGAACCACAAAAGAACAAGAAGACAGAGGACGGAUUACAAGUGAAGCACUCAUUUCUUCUCUUGAGUGCUCAGGACUGCGACUGCUUGCAUAAGUGGGUCUUCCUGUACAUAACUGGAGCAUUUGUGUUGAAGGUUAGAUGAAUCCAUGAAUCUCCAGAAGUGAAAGUCAAGAGCACUUAAGGAAAUUUAGAAAGAAUGAAGGUAGAUACGUUUUGAUUGCCUGCUGCCACAGCAGAUGUCAGAGUUGCUGGAGAUGACUGGAGCACUCUGCAGCAGUUCAGUUGCACAAUAUCUUUUUGACCUCUUCAAAAGAGUUGGAAGCUACUCUGAGAUUUUGCUCACUACUUGAACAAUCUUUCAAGGUGCUCUCACAACUUUGGCAAUUCAUUCUCAGCCCUCACAGACAGUACAGCACUGAAGCAGAUUACAUUACUGUGCCAUACCCUACUUCUCACCAUGGUUUUAUGAAGGAAUCAGCACCGACUAGAUUGGCCAGAUUGAUUUGUCAGCCAGAAUCUGAAGAAAGAUAAUAAUUCCCAUUGGGUAAGGAAUCUCUCGAAGACAGCUGAAGAUUAUCACCUUCCAUACUCUUCAAAUGUGACCAUUGUUGACCUCUCUGUGACAUUAGCAUAUGAGUUUUCUAGUGUUUUCUAAGAGUUUUCUACCAUAAAGAGCCAUAUGAGAAGACAACAAUAUAUUCUCGGUAAAAAAAUAAAACGAAAAACUAUUGAAAGGCAGAAAGACAAGUUUACUCCUAGUUGAUAUAUCAGUUAAAUAAAUAUAUUCUUCAGUUACAAUGCCUUCACUUGCUGUUAAGUGAGAAUCAAAAUGCUUUACCAAGUGUGUUCUGUGCUAGCUAACAUUUGACUGAUGGCAGAUAUUUCCAUACCUUCGUGUUUUCAUCUACUGAUUGCUUCUCCUUGGUCUACAUGUUCAUCUUUAUAUCAUCCUGUGAGUUUUCAUGUUUAUAUUCAUAUUCUAUUCGUGUUCUUGCAUCGAACUCUCAGCUUUAGCAACAAACUGUGCGCUCAUAUGUCACUGCUGUACCAGCAGGAGGGUGUACCUGAUGCUCUAUAGAAUAUGUUGAGUAACUAAGUACUAGAUUAUGUAUGUCACAUUAAAAUUAAUACUUCCUUUUUCUGUGGAAACUACAACAGAUACAAAGAGCACUAUAAAACUAUUUGAUAGAGAAAAUUCACACCUACAAAACACUUUUUUUUUUUUUUAGCAUAGUCACCACAAUUAGUCAUGCAUUUUCAACCAGUGAUGAACAAAAGCCUGUAUGCCAUGCUUGGAGAAAUCUGCGCCAGUGGAGGUGACACACUGUCACUGUUGCCACUGCUGAAACGCACUACCCAGUGCUUCACUGUGCUCACAUCCACUGUUUGGUCUCCAUAAAUGUUCACCAAGUAUUGAUGAAUGACAUUGGGUGCCAUUUUUUUUCAUAUCAAGGAAUUAGAUUCCACACCUUUGUUUCAUACCCACUUCAAUGUCAGACAUCACUUGGUCAGACUGCCCCUUUGCCAUCUGUCAUGCAACAACAAAAUGUAAUGGAAUACUGAUGAGAAGACUGAAACUCUACUGCCAUACCACCAACAUCCACCUCUGAUACUGUGGGCCAAUAUAAUAAAUUAGGAUGUAUUACUUUUGGAGCAACCCUUAUAUAUAAAAAAGCCUCUCUUGUUUCAAAAUUGAAAUAUUUUAAGACUUUUGCUAUGCAUUCAGUCAAUCUGUAUGACGAUGAACCCAUUCUGCACCCUGAGUUGUCUUGGUGCACUUCCUCAUUCUUGGAUGGUGCACCUCAAAAUUACAUGAUAGCAAAGAUACAAGCCUGGAUCUGGAAAGAAGAAAUAAACUAGUUGCUGUUC